GUCAUGCUAGACCAAAACAUAGAGGAUGGAAAAGACCGGAUGGAUGUUAUGUACAAGCAGGCACAAUAUUGGCCACGCAGCUAAAACCCAGGUUUCAUCCAGGUCUUAAUGUUGGUUUUGGGCGAAAUGGAACUUUAUUUGCCAUAGAAGCAGGCAAAGUAAUGGUAACUUGUGAGAAAAUUAAUCCUUAUUGGAAUCAUACUUGGGUUAAACGAUGUUAUGCUGGCCGUGAAGGCCAAGUUAUAUAUAAGAAACACUUUAAUGUUAUUCCUCAUCCACAACAUAAUCGAUUUCUAUUGAUUGACAGAAUAUAAAUAUCCAUAUUAUGUAGAGAAAAUGUGUAUAGAAGUUUUUUAAUUGUUUUAAAAUUCAUUAGUACAUAUAUUAUUAAAUUUUCAGAUAUUGCUUGAGACUAUUCUUAUAAUGAUUCAUCAGUGUAUAAUAAAAAGAAAAGUUUCUA